rnacentral:rRNA from 14 species
CGCCUGGGGAGUACGGCCGCAAGGUUAAAACUCAAAUGAAUUGACGGGGGCCCGCACAAGCGGUGGAGCAUGUGGUUUAAUUCGAUUCAACGCGAAGAACCUUACCAGGGCUUGACAUACUGCAGAUCUUCUAGAAACAGAAGAGUACCUUCGGGAAUGUAGAUACAGGUGGUGCAUGGCUGUCGUCAGCUCGUGUCGUGAGAUGUUGGGUUAAGUCCCGCAACGAGCGCAACCCUCGUUUUUAGUUGCCAAUUUAUUGGGUUUUCUAGAAAGACUGCCGGUGACAAACCGGAGGAAGGUGAGGAUGACGUCAAGUCAGCAUGCCCCUUAUGUCCUGGGCCACACACGUGCUACAAUGGCGGAGACAAAGAGUCGCAAACCUGCGAAGGUUAGCUAAUCUCAUAAACUUCGUCUAAGUUCGGAUUGUAGGCUGCAACUCGCCUGCAUGAAGCCGGAAUCGCUAGUAAUCGGAGAUCAGCUACGCUCCGGUGAAUACGUUCCUGAGCCUUGUACACACCGCCCGUCAAGUCAU